CUACGGGAUGCACCAGUGAGGAAUAUUGCACAAUGGGGGGAACCCUGAUGCAGCAACGCCGCGUGGAGGAUGACGCAUUUCGGUGUGUAAACUCCUUUUAUAUGUCAAGAAAAUGACGGUAGCAUAUGAAUAAGCACCGGCUAACUCCGUGCCAGCAGCCGCGGUAAUACGGAGGGUGCAAGCGUUACUCGGAAUCACUGGGCGUAAAGGACGCGUAGGCGGGCUUGUAAGUCAGGUGUGAAAUCCUACAGCUUAACUGUAGAACUGCACUUGAAACUACGAGCCUAGAGUAUGGGAGGGGGAGAUGGAAUUAGUGGUGUAGGGGUAAAAGCCGUAGAUAUCACUAGGAAUACCUAAAGCGAAGGCGAUCUCCUGGAACAUUACUGACGCUAAGGCGUGAAAGCGUGGGGAGCAAACAGGAUUAGAUACCCGAGUAGUC
rnacentral:rRNA from 1 species